rnacentral:rRNA from 1 species
UCGAACGAUUCUUGAGUAGCUUGCUACUCGAGUAAGAGUGGCGAACGGGUGACGAACACGUGAGUAAUCACCCCUCGAGUGAGGAAUAACCACGCGAAAGCGUGGCUAAUACCGCAUAAUACUCUGGAGCAUAAGCUUUCAGAGUCAAAGCUUUCGGGCGCUUGAGGACGAGCUCGCGGCCUAUUAGCUUGUUGGUAGGGUAAUGGCCUACCAAGGCAAUGAUGGGUAGCCGGCCUGAGAGGGUGUACGGCCACACUGGGACUUAGACACGGCCCAGACUCCUACGGGAGGCAGCAGUGGGGAAUUUUGCGCAAUGGGCGAAAGCCUGACGCAGCGACGCCGCGUGGAGGAUGACGGUUUUCGGAUUGUAAACUCCUGUCAGAGGUGAAGAAUGCCUGAUUUAUC